GAUGAAGAACGCAGCGAAAUGCGAUACUUGGUGUGAAUUGCAGAAUCCCGUGAACCAUCGAGUCUUUGAACGCAAGUUGCGCCUCAAGCCAUUAGGUUGAGGGCACGUCUGCCUGGGCGUCACAUAUCGUUGCCUGAUGCCAGUUUCCUCGUGAUGGGUGACUGUGCAGGGCGAAUGAUGGCUUCCCGUGAGCAUUGUUGCCUCAGGGUUGGUUGAAAAUUGAGUCCUUGGUAGGGAGCGCCGUGAUAGAUGGUGGUUGAGUGACGAACGAGACCCAAUCAUGUGAGACCCCUACCGAAUUUGGCCUUCAUGACCCACAUGCGUCUUUGGAACGCUCAUGACGAGACCUCAGGUCAGGCGGGGCUACCCGCUGAGUUUCAGCAUAUCAAUAAGCGGAGGA
rnacentral:misc_RNA from 1 species